UUCUCCACUACCUCAUGCUUCUCAUGGCCAUUUUACAGGUAGCUCCUCCCCAGCUUGAGGAGAGUCAAGACCAGCAGCACUCAGACCUGACAGAGCCGAGAGGUGGACCAGCAAACCCAGGCUUUGGGCUCUAGGGGAGGUCCAAGAGAGCCAAAGCACUGGGACCCAUCCUCCGGCAUCACACACCUGCCACUCCCUCCCUCUCCUCUGCAGAUGCACCUGGGCCACUUGGAGAGCCACCGUCUUGGCUUCUGAUCAGGUGGGAGGCUUUCUUCCUGUCUCACUAAGGGAGAAACUGAGGCCAGCAGAGGAGCAGAGAGAGAAAGAAGGUGCAUCUACCAGCCUGCAGGCAGAUGGAGGGCUUCCUGGACUGGGGAAGACCCAGCAGCCACAGGACACCCUUGUUGCUGUGAUAAACUGGAAGUCUUGGGGAACUCUGAGUGGCCUGCCCUGAGCCCCUUGAACUUGCCCCCAGGUCUAGACUCAGACCUCCCUCUGCAAGUCCUGGCAGUGUCAGGACACAGUCUUCCUAAGCCCAGGGAUGAGUGUUGCUCUUCCAUGUUUCAAACCAUUAAUAUUCUACAGAUUUUGAGGUAA